UGGAGGACGGGUGAGUAACGCGUGGAAAACCUGCCGUAUACUGGGGGAUAACACUUAGAAUAGGUGCUAAUACCGCAUAAGCGCACAGCUUCGCAUGAAGCGGUGUGAAAAACUCUGGUGGUAUACGAUGGUUCCGCGUCUGAUUAGCUAGUUGGUGGGGUAAUGGCCUACCAAGGCAACGAUCAGUAGCCGGCCUGAGAGGGUGAACGGCCACAUUGGGACUGAGACACGGCCCAAACUCCUACGGAAGGCAGCAG
rnacentral:rRNA from 1 species